CAGCAGCCGCGGGAAUACGGAGGGUGCAAGCGUUAAUCGGAAUUACUGGGCGUAAAGCGCACGCAGGCGGUCUGACAAGUCAGAUGUGAAAUCCCUGAGCUUAACUUAGGAAUUGCAUUCGAUACUGGGAAGCUAGAGUAUGGGAGAGGAUGGUAGAAUUCCAGGUGUAGCGGUGAAAUGCGUAGAGAUCUGGAGGAAUACCGAUGGCGAAGGCAGCCAUCUGGCCUAAUACUGACGCUGAGGUACGAAAGCAUGGGGAGCAAACAGGAUUAGAUACCCCUGUAGUCCCUGUCUCUUAUUU
rnacentral:rRNA from 1 species